rnacentral:misc_RNA from 1 species
AAGUCGUAACAAGGUUUCCGUAGGUGAACCUGCGGAAGGAUCAUUAGAAAUCACCGGCCUAGCCGGUAUAAAAUUCUAUCCACCUUAUGUGCAACAAAUGGAAAAAAGAGAGAAAAUUGGAUACUUUUUGUAUCCAACCUCUCUAAAAAACUUUAUAAACUCCAUCAAAUUUUGAAUAAAACUAAUAUUUUAAUAAAAUAUAUUAUACAACUUUCAACAACGGAUCUCUUGGCUCUC